UGAGGAAUAUUGUUCAAUGGACGCAAGUCUGAACCAGCCAAGUAGCGUGCAGGAUGACGGCCCUAUGGGUUGUAAACUGCUUUUAUAUGGGGAUAAAGUUGGGAACGUUUUCCCUUUUGCAGGUACCAUAUGAAUAAGGACCGGCUAAUUCCGUGCCAGCAGCCGCGGUAAUACGGAAGGUUCGGGCGUUAUCCGGAUUUAUUGGGUUUAAAGGGAGCGUAGGCCGUUUGGUAAGCGUGUUGUGAAAUGUAGGAGCUCAACUUCUAGAUUGCAGCGCGAACUGUCAGACUUGAGUGCGCACAACGUAGGCGGAAUUCAUGGUGUAGCGGUGAAAUGCUUAGAUAUCAUGAAGAACUCCGAUUGCGAAGGCAGCUUACGGGAGCGCAACUGACGCUGAAGCUCGAAGGGGCGGGUAUCGAACAGG
rnacentral:rRNA from 1 species